rnacentral:rRNA from 1 species
ACUCAAAUGAAUUGACGGGGGCCCGCACAAGCGGUGGAGCAUGUGGUUUAAUUCGACGCAACGCGCAGAACCUUACCAGCCCUUGACAUGCCUGUCAUAGUUAUCAGAGAUGAUUUCGUCGGUUCGGCCGGACAGUGCACAGUUGCUGCAUGGCUGUCGUCAGCUCGUGUCGUGAGAUGUUGGGUUAAGUCCCGCAACGAGCGCAACCCUCCUCCUUAGUUGCUACCAUUUAGUUGGGCACUCUAGGGAUACUGCCGGUGAUAAGCCGGAGGAAGGCGGGGAUGACGUCAAGUCCUCAUGGCACUUACGGGCUGGGCUACACACGUGCUACAAUGGUGGUGACAGUGAGACGCAAACCAGCGAUGGGAAGCAAAUCUCCAAAAGCCAUCUCAGUUCAGAUUGCAGGCUGCAACUCGCCUGCAUGAAGUUGGAAUCGCUAGUAAUCGUGGAUCAGCAUGCCACGGUGAAUACGUUCCCGGGCCUUGUACACACCGCCCGU